UACGAAGGGUGCAAGCGUUACUCGGAAUUACUGGGCGUAAAGGGUGCGUAGGUGGUCGUUUAAGUCCGUUGUGAAAUCCCUGGGCUCAACCUGGGAAUGGCAGUGGAUACUGGACGGCUAGAAUGCGGUAGAGGGUAGUGGAAUUCCCGGUGUAGCAGUGAAAUGCGUAGAGAUCGGGAGGAACACCAGUGGCGAAGGCGGCUGCCUGGACCAGAAUUGACACUCAAGCACGAAAGCGUGGGGAGCAAACAGG
rnacentral:rRNA from 1 species